UACGAAGGGGGCGAGCGUUGUUCGGAUUUACUGGGCGUAAAGGGCGCGCAGGCGGCUCAUUUUGUCAGGCGUGAAAGCCCCGGGCUUAACCUGGGAACUGCGUUUGAUACGGAUGGGCUAGAGUUCGGGAGAGGAGAGUGGAAUUCCCAGUGUAGAGGUGAAAUUCGUAGAUAUUGGGAAGAACACCGGUGGCGAAGGCGGCGAGCUGGUCCAUUACUGACGCUGAGGCGCGACAGCGUGGGGAGCAAACAGG
rnacentral:rRNA from 1 species